UCGGGCUUCGACCGGCGUACGGGUGCGUAACGCGUAUACAAUCUGCCUUUCACAUAGGGAUAGCCCGAAGAAAUUUGGAUUAAUACCUAAUGGUAUAUAGGAGUGGCAUCACAUUUAUAUUAAAGCUGAGGCGGUGAAAGAUGAGUAUGCGUUCUAUUAGCUAGUUGGAGAGGUAACGGCUCCCCAAGGCGACGAUAGAUAGGGGUUCUGAGAGGGAUAUCCCCCACACUGGUACUGAGAUACGGACCAGACUCCUACGGGAGGCAGCAGUGAGGAAUAUUGGACAAUGGUCGGAAGACUGAUCCAGCCAUGCCGCGUGCAGGAAGACGGCCUUAUGGGUUGUAAACUGCUUUUGCAGGGGAAGAAUAAGGAGUACGUGUACUUUGAUGACGGUACUCUGCGAAUAAGCAUCGGCUAACUCCGUGCCAGCAGCCGCGGUAAUACGGAGGAUGCGAGCGUUAUCCGGAAUCAUUGGGUUUAAAGGGUCCGUAGGCGGGCUAAUAAGUCAGAGGUGAAAGCGCUCAGCUCAACUGAGCAACUGCCUUUGAAACUGUUAGUCUUGAAUGGUUGUGAAGUAGUUGGAAUGUGUAGUGUAGCGGUGAAAUGCUUAGAUAUUACACAGAACACCGAUAGCGAAGGCAUAUUACUAACAAUUAAUUGACGCUGAUGGACGAAAGCGUGGGGAGCGAACAGGAUUAGAUACCCUGGUAGUCCACGCUGUAAACGAUGGAUACUAGCUGUUUGGUUGU
rnacentral:rRNA from 1 species